ACCAGUCUAUCAUUUCGUUACCAACUCAGUGACGCAUGCGUAUUGUGUCACUGAUUAUACUUGAUGGCAGCAAAAACGUGAAUAGGGACACUCGUCUCAUCCUUAAAGAACUCCUUCAAAGCAGAAUUGAGCAUUGCUCUCUGGCGUACAAGGUCCCGUGGAUUUCGUUUUAGUGGGAGUCGGACUGUAUUCCCUCAUCCAUCCUCUUAACUAGAGCGGUGUGUCGAUCCUGCUUGAGUCUCGUCUGUUUAGAUCGAGUCAUUGUCUACGAAACAAUAGGUGAAAUCAUGGCGACGGCAUCCACAUUGCAAGCUAGGCGUCAGGUUACGAGAGUGCCCAAGCAAAGCGAAUGCGGAUGGGGAAUUGUGGUGGUCAUUGCUGCCCACGUCGGCAUGGCAUCGAGUGGUAUCCUGCGAUGCAGUGGGAUCCUGUAUCUUCCCUGGAUGAAUGAGUUCGACUUGAGUGCCAAGGAGACGGCGGUCAUUCAAAGUUUCAUGUCAUCCCCAGCAGGGUUCGCAGUUCUCAUUGGAGGAGUUCUAAGCAACCGCUUCGGUUGUAGAUUUACGGGUAUACUAGGAGGGUUCUU